UACGUAGGUGGCAAGCGUUGUCCGGAAUUAUUGGGCGUAAAGCGCGCGCAGGCGGUCCUUUAAGUCUGAUGUGAAAGCCCACGGCUCAACCGUGGAGGGUCAUUGGAAACUGGGGGACUUGAGUGCAGAAGAGGAAAGUGGAAUUCCAAGUGUAGCGGUGAAAUGCGUGGAGAUUUGGAGGAACACCAGUGGCGAAGGCGACUACCUGGCCUGUUCUUGACGCUGAGGCGCGAAAGCUAGGGGAGCAAACGGG
rnacentral:rRNA from 1 species